rnacentral:lncRNA from 1 species
CCGUCGUUGCCAUUCAUCUCCGCCGCUCAAAUAUCUGUCGCGUUCAUCUCCAUCUAGGCUUCUGAAACUCAAUUUGAAAGGUGAGUUACCAAUUCAUGAUCCUGCAAUUUUGUUUGAGUUCGAUUGUGAAUCUGCUACAAGUUCCUUAUGAAAUUAGGUUGAUUUUGAGUUCCAUCGUUUUGAUUUUCUGGGUUUGAUGUGGUUAACG